CGGAGGUUCGUUCAAUGGUAAGGACAUAGGACUUUGAAUCCUAAAAUAACAGUUCAAAUCUGUUACCUCCUG
rnacentral:tRNA from 1 species